ACUGAAAAAACGAUCCAUCAGAA
rnacentral:siRNA from 1 species